rnacentral:rRNA from 1 species
GAUGAACGCUAGCGGGAGGCUUAAUACAUGCAAGUCGAGGGGUAACAUGAGUGCUUGCACUUGAUGACGACCGGCGCACGGGUGAGUAACGCGUACACAACCUACCUUUAAGAGGGGGAUAGGCUUUGGAAACGAAGAUUAAUACCCCAUAGUAUUAUCUAUAUUAAAGUGGAUAAUUAAAGUUCCGGCGCUUAAAGAUGGGUGUGCGUCUGAUUAGUUAGUUGGUAAGGUAACGGCUUACCAAGACGAUGAUCAGUAGGGGGCGUGAGAGCGUGGCCCCCCACACGGGUACUGAGACACGGACCCGACUCCUACGGGAGGCAGCAGUAAGGAAUAUUGGACAAUGGGCGCAAGCCUGAUCCAGCUAUCCCGCGUGCAGGAUGACGGCCCUCUGGGUUGUAAACUGCUUUUGGAAGGGAAGAAACGCCUGGUUUUAACCGGGCCUGACGGUACCUUCAGAAUAAGCACCGGCUAACUCCG